GAUGAACGCUAGCGGGAGGCUUAACACAUGCAAGUCGAGGGGUAACAGUGCUGCUUGCAGCAGCUGACGACCGGCGCACGGGUGCGUAACGCGUAUGCAACUUACCUUAUACAGGGGGAUAGCCCAGAGAAAUUUGGAUUAAUACCCCAUGGUCUUACUGAAUCGCAUGGUUUAGUAAGUAAAACUCCGGUGGUAUAAGAUAGGCAUGCGUCCCAUUAGUUUGUUGGUGAGGUAACGGCUCACCAAGACUACGAUGGGUAGGGGUUCUGAGAGGAUGAUCCCCCACACUGGUACUGAGACACGGACCAGACUCCUACGGGAGGCAGCAGUGAGGAAUAUUGGUCAAUGGGCCAAGCCUGAACCAGCCAUCCCGCGUGAAGGAUGACUGCCCUAUGGGUUGUAAUUCUUUUUUAUUUGCCAAGAACGUAUCUACGUGUAGGUAUUUGACGGUAGCAAAUGAAUAAGCAUCGGCUAACUCCGUGCC
rnacentral:rRNA from 1 species